UUAUACAGAGGCAGCCGGUAAAAGUGUCUACCCCCACCGUGUUUGGGUUUCAAAUCUGCCGCGUCAGUGGCGGGUUUGUACUGCAGGAGGAGUGUGUUACGUCCUUCUGGCCUGUAGGUGGCGAUUGACUCCCACUUUUGGUCCUGAAACAUCGUAGUUGCAUACGUCAUAUAGGCUCUUGUAGAACAACCAAUGAUCAGGUCUUUGGUGGCCUAGUGGUUAACGUGCAUGGCCACAACGUUUUUUUUUUGUCCGGGGUUCGAGUCUGAGUGGAAGCAGUUUUUUUAUUUUAAUUAUUGGAAAAACAGCGUCUCAUCAUCAUCAUGUGAUCACGAGAUGACAACGUUGUAUUACUUAGUGCAUGAAUCGCCAAGACCAUGAACCGCUGGUCGCGUUAUAGUAUGAAGUUAUGAACGUAAGUAAAUUAUGGCAAAUUAUGGCAGUUUAAAACCGAAAAUAGGAAGCUGAACGGUGCGCCCUCCCGCGUGCAGCGUUCGAUUUAUGGCAGACAAGCUACUGUAACCCUGAUUUCUUGCUGUUGGUACGGGCAAUUUUCUUUACGUGGAAUGCUUCUUUAAUGCACCACACGGCAAGACAGUACGGCACAUGUACACUUUUUUCUUUACGCCGCUCUCACCCAACGUGCGUCACAUUUUCUUGUCCCCCGUCAACAAGGACAGGUAGGAACUAAUGUUGAUGACAAAUAAAAUCACAGUAGCUGAAAUGUCACGUUUCCCAAACAUAAAAUAAAAAAAAUAAAAAGGAAUACUAACUAAGGUUACACUACUACAAUUUAAAAAAGUGAAUAAGGAUGAUCUAGACCAGAGGUCUGCCACCGGUAACACCCACGUUUUAAAUGAAAAAAACAAACACUGGGAGCCGCGGAGGGCGGCAAUAUUAUAUUAUUUGAGAACAUUCAACAUUUGUUUUUUAAUCCAAAGAAGACAUAAAAGUCGGGGCUCAGAGAUCUAACCGAUGCUAAAACAUUGUCAAGGCAUCGACAAGGACAGCUAACUCGCUUUUCCCUGCUUCAAACAGCUGCUGUAACUGAGAGCAACCUGUGCGGCAUCACCGGUCAAUCUGUAAACGUAUUAAUUUUUUUUUGUAAAUAAAAAUAAUGUUUGCCCUGUUCAAACCUGCAUGGGGAAUUCUGAAAGCGGCUGAGCAACUUCGUAGGAACACAUUUCAUAUGGUACAGGUGAAAGGAGUAAUAACGAAAUAAACAGCUGGUUAACUUCGUAGGAACACCUUGUAGUAGGAACUGGUAUAUUUAGAAAACCCAGUAGUCCUAGUGUUAAGGUGUGUGAACUGGGGAGGAGACGGCAGCAGCGACUGAAGAGCGACUGAAUAGAGUUGAUGUCUUCCCCGCUGACAGGCGCAUUCAUUUGAUAAUGCACGUACCUUUGCUGAUAGUUCAGUCAAAAACCAUACUGAAUCUUUAUUAAACCGUCCCUGAAUAACAAAUAUGAACUGCAGUUUCUUCCUUGAUUAUCCAUGAUUAUUAUGAAAGAAGCGCAAAUCUUCGCCAGUCCAAAUUGUGCAAUUAAUACUGUGUUUACAAUAAAGGUAAUAAAUAAUAAUAUUAGUAUUUUCAUUUUAAAAAGCACUGCAUAUUUUAAACGAAUGUCGAAGUGCUACAAAUAACUUAGACUACGCUACGAUAAAUACAUACGUUUAUUUUUGCAGAGUAAACGUAUGUAGAACAAACUACUUGCUGCAUUAAUGAGUCUUAGACCUGCAGCUGAUCACGCCGCCCGAUGCUGCCCUGUCUCCCACGGAGCUUUGUCUGGAGCUGAGGUAUUUCUCACCUGCUGAUCGAGUAGUAGCAACACAUUAGCAUGUCUAUGCGCCUCUACGGGGAGAGGGAGGGGUGUGUAGAUUUCCUUUGCGACUGUGAGCAAACAUGAGACAAGCAAAAGCUUGGUCGAACUCAGAUCCAAGUCAUCUGAGUACGAAACACAUCACAUUUCAUUCGAUCUCGUGUUUCAUUCGAGCGGCAGUCGGGAGCUCUCUGCUACGACUCAUCCACGGAUGAGCUUCGAUUAAAAAUUAAAAGCAGAGGUUUUUUGUUUUUCGUUUUUCUCUAAACGAAAAAAACAGCUUAAAAUUCAAGUCCGUGUGUUUUUGUUAAAAAAUAUUUUUGUUCAGUUUAUUGGUUUGUAAUGCGGUGCUUUUAUUCAGAAUAGAUAGACGGGUGGGAAAUCAAAGUUUUGAAACGUACACGGGCGAAUAAGUCACAUCAGCCACUCAUUCAGUUACAAUGACACGCACAGUCAAAACAAAUUCUCGCUACCUCUCGUGCACCACUGCCCCGUUCCUCUCGUAGCUUGCAUUUGCACAUCCAUACAUUUGUGUAUUGGUCACUCUCUGUCUGGACACAUGACUCCGAAACACGUCACGUGUUUGUGUAAGAGUUUGAUGUCUCCACCAAAUUAUAUGCAGAGGUAACGAGAGAACGACUUUUUGUUUUCCGUUUGUCUCUAAACAAUAAAAACAUAUUAACUCCAAUUCCGUGUCUUUUUGUAAAAAACAAAUAUUUUUGCCUGUUUUAUUGGUUUGUAAGGCGGUGCUUUGAUUAAAAUCCGUUUGCCGCUCAUCGAAAGAGAAACGAAAACGCCGGUGAAAGUGGCUGGAUGGACGGAUGGGAAAUGAAAAUGUUGAAACGUACACGGGUCGAAUAAGUCUCUCAGCCACUCAGUUACAAUGACACGCACAGUCAAAACAAGUCAAACUGCAGUUCUGCAGACACAGAGUAAACGCGUAGGAACAAACAUGUUGCUGUAAUGCGUCGCUGUAGAUCUGCUGAUUUCUGGCGUCCUGUCAAAAUUACGACCGACAACUGCUGUAAAACAAAUUCCUAUGAUUAUUACGGUUAUUUACGUAAAAUCUACGACUAUUGGAAAACAUUCAUUAACAAGUUGUGGAAGUUUAAAACCUAAAUAAGCGGCUGUAGUCGCAGAUGGACUGCGCUAUACGUCUUUACUUGCGCAUUCAAUUAUAUUAAUUAAACCGCGACGCAUAAUCAUGGUAUUAUGUGAAGCCAAUAUGUUGUAUCAGAUGUUAGAGCGGUGGGUGUGUACAUAUUUUUAAGAGACGCCUUCUAUUUAAAGACACGAAAAAGCUGAGGAGAAUGAAAACAAGAAUGUGUUGCUGCUGUGGCGCUGCCUGUUUUAAACCACACAGAACAAUUAUAACUUCGCAGUGAACAGAAAACAGCUAAGCCAUCAACAAGUUGUUGCCCUUCACACUCCCCAUGUUUGAGCACACAACAGAUACUUAAUAGUAAAAUAGGUCUGGUGUAAUAUAUGUGUGUUACAGGUAGAAAUGAACAGUCGGACCUCAGUUACGCUGUAGUGCUUUGGAGGCUUCUAAUCAACGCUGCGCCACCUGGUGGUUAAAACGAGACUAGCGUCCUGAUUUUUUCCAGCCGGCUGCAGGAUUAAAAAUCUUUAGUCAGCGACGCACUCGCUGCACCGUGGCGACGCGGCGGUACUGCAGUAAAAACCCUAGUCACUUUGAACCGCUGCCACUGUAUUAUCCCUUAAUGCUGAUCAUUUUCAUUAUUAAUGCCUUAAUAAUCAUCUGAUUGUUUGUGAUUCAUGUUCAUAUUCUUAAGUGUUGAUCAUACACAACCUUAAACAUUCUAUGCAUUGUUCAAGUAUAUUGCUGGAAGCCUCUGAGCAAGAGGGGUUUUCAGGUAUCUUAUAGAGUCUUCAGUUAUGUUUUGAGCAGGAAGCCUAGUUCUGAUUUAAUCAUUGUGAGACAGUGUCUGACUGUCUGACUUGAUGACUCUGUCACGUAGUGUUUGACUUAGACAAGGAACAGAGUGCUGCUUGAGUGGGGCCUUCCUCUUUUGCCACCUUUGCUCAUGUAAACUUGGCAAAUUGUCCUGAAGUUUGAGCUCAUGUGUGGAGGUUUUGUGUUAUCUGUAGGCUUUAAAACUCGGGACAGGAGAAGUUUUCAGAGAACCUUGGUGUGCAGUUUGUGUGAGCAUCAACUUGUUCUCUUCACCCGGGUGCCUUUCUUUUCUUUUACCUAUUCUUUUCCUUUCGUUUUUAAUUUUUCUGUAUGCAUAUUCAGAAAUAAAUUCACAAAGACAACUUUUGAAUUCUUUUUUUCAUUGAGUCGUCAGAAGCUCUCGUGGUAUUUUUUUUUUCCACAACACA